UACGAAGGGGGCUAGCGUUGUUCGGAAUUACUGGGCGUAAAGCGUGUGUAGGCGGCCUUGCAAGUCGGAUGUGAAAGCCCCGGGCUCAACCCGGGAAGUGCACCCGAUACUGCUAGGCUCGAGUACCGGAGAGGUUGGUGGAAUUCUCGGUGUAGAGGUGAAAUUCGUAGAUAUCGAGAGGAACACCGGUGGCGAAGGCGGCCAACUGGACGAGUACUGACGCUGAGACACGAAAAGCGUGGGGGAGCAAACAGG
rnacentral:rRNA from 1 species